rnacentral:rRNA from 1 species
AUACGGAGGGUGCAAGCGUUAAUCGGAAUUACUGGGCGUAAGGCGCGCGUAGGCGGAUUGUUAAGUCUCAUGUGAAAGCCCUGGGCUCAACCUGGGAACUACAUGGGAUACUGGCAAUCUAGAAUACAGUAGAGGGUAGUGGAAUUUCAGGUGUAGCGGUGAAAUGCGUAGGGAUCUGAAGGAACAUCAGUGGCGAAGGCGACUACCUGGACUGAUAUUGACGCUGAGGUGCGAAAGCGUGGGUAGCAAACGGGAUUAGAAACCCGAGUAGUCC